GGGGAGGUGCCGGAGUGGACGAACGGGGCCGCCUGCUAAGUGGUUGUCGGAUGUAAAUCCGACCGAGGGUUCGAAUCCCUCCCUCCCCGCUA
rnacentral:tRNA from 1 species